ACCUAACUGGCUCAGUUGGAAGAGCAUGGGACCCUUAAUCUUGGGGUCAUGAGUUCAACCCCCAUGCUGGGUG
rnacentral:tRNA from 1 species